CACCUGUGGAGUUUCAGUUUUACGCUUCGCUGCGUAAACAGCGACUUUAUCCAAGAUGCUUUGAGGAAAAGAGUCAUAUCAACGCAAAACACCGCUGCUGGGAUGUUUUUUUGUUUUUUUUUACCUUUUUGAAGCUACAUUCUGUGAUUACUCAGCGGUAAAACCUGAAGGUUUCCAAACGUUUGACCUACUGGACACCGAACCUUCUGUUUCCUCUGAGGCGUUUGGAUAAAACUUAUAAAGUGGGAAUAACAGCACUUCUUAACCCAGCAACCAGCCCAGGUGGCAUCUCAAAGCAACAAUAUGCUGGAAAUAUGAAAUGUGCGGUGACCACUAAAGCCUCCAACCUUUCCGAGACUGAGCUGCAGAAACUCCAGAAGCAGCAGGGAUCUCCGUCAUGAACUUCCGUGGAUUUAAGACAGAAUAUCCCCGUGGAUGGAAACACUUGUGAUGCUGCUGCAGGACAUCAGCGCCAUGGGAGGAAUGCAUCUGCAGAUUAGAGAGAAUCUACAAACAGGACACUCUGGGACCUGGAAGUUGUAAUGUGGAAAUGAUCAACUGAGGCUGAAUGUUGUCAAGCAGACGCGGAGUCCAGUUUCUCCCAUGGUGAAAUUAUGCUGAGGCCAGCAGGAAAGCAAUAAAGGCGCCGUGAACCAGUGAGAAACCAGAAUUUCUCCUCUUCCUGCACAACUCAGAAUUGAAGGAACGUCUGGGUGCAUGAGCUGAGCUGAUGUCGCUGCACUGUAACCAUACUUAGUUAAUAUAGCCUCUUC
ensembl:lncRNA